AUUGAACGCUGGCGGCAUGCUUUACACAUGCAAGUCGAACGGCAGCGCGGGCUUCGGCCUGGCGGCGAGUGGCGAACGGGUGAGUAAUACAUCGGAACGUGCCCAGUAGUGGGGGAUAGCUCGGCGAAAGCCGGAUUAAUACCGCAUACGACCUGUGGGUGAAAGCGGGGGAUCUUCGGACCUCGCGCUAUUGGAGCGGCCGAUGGCAGAUUAGCUAGUUGGUGGGGUAAAGGCCUACCAAGGCGACGAUCUGUAGCUGGUCUGAGAGGACGACCAGCCACACUGGGACUGAGACACGGCCCAGACUCCUACGGGAGGCAGCAGUGGGGAAUUUUGGACAAUGGGCGAAAGCCUGAUCCAGCAAUGCCGCGUGUGUGAUGAAGGCCUUCGGGUUGUAAAGCACUUUUGGCGGGAACGAAAAGGACUGUGCCAAUACCACGGUUCGAUGACGGUACCCGCAGAAUAAGCACCGGCUAACUACGUG
rnacentral:rRNA from 1 species